UUUGGAUGGAGGACACAUUUUUUUUGUCAGGGAGAAAUGUUUCGUCAGCCAGCUGUUCAAAUAUUCUAAAACCAGAGAGCAAAAUUUUUCUGGACAGUGAAAAAAACGUUCAUUUUUUCAACAUCUGUGUCUACUUCACAUAUUUUUCUUGAUAAUUUUUUCAGCGUUUUAAAUUUGUUGUCAACAAAAUAUUUUUUGAGCACUGGUAACCCCGAGAUUAAGAAACUUCAAAAAAAUAAUUUUUAAUCAGAAUUUUGGGCUUGAUACAUCUGAGUGGCCGGCUGACGAUUUUUUUUCUUCUGGUCUAUCUCAGGACAUCCAGCAGUCCACGAAGAAGGAAAGCCAGGAAGGAGUAAGAGACGCGUGAGAUAGAGUGUGCACCACGGCUUACACGAUGUAUUCAGUGUUACUACUUCUGUACUCGUGAAGGUGAGAAAGUCGACUAUAUAUAUAACCUCUGUUCCAUCUCAUCGCAGUUUAAAAAAAAAAAAAAAAUUAUAAUCAUAUAAGCUUAGAGUUUUAUUUCAAUGCAUGUACAAAUCAUGAUACACAGAGUUCUUGUUGUCUUUCUGUUUCCAUUUCCACCAUUUUAUUUGUGCAUAGAUGCGGAAGUGUUGUGGCAUAUACGUCACCGAUGGUGGUGUUGUCGUGCGUUUUGUGCGUCCGUGCAGACGCUGAAAGGAGCGGGGCCCGAGGGAAAGGAUCGACUGUCACAUCCGCGUCUGUCUAGGAAUAAGAGAUGAUAAAACGCCCAGCGACGGGUGUAAGAGGAAGCUGAGCUCAACAGAUUCAGCGGGCAGUGACUUUAAUAAGAGUCUUCUUAGUCUCAGAAAUGUACUUACCUGCUCUUCUCUGCUCCCUUCUCCGUGUGUGUGUGUGCGUGAGUGAGUGAGUGCGUGCAUGCAUGCGGGAUCUCCCUGUUUGUGGGCGUGCCUCUCAACUCGGUUUCAGUGUGUUGGUUCGCCUUUUUCCAUUCAUCACUCAAUUCCCAGUGCAGACGUACAGCAGUUGUGGAAAAAUAUGGAUCUGCAGCAGUCGUUAGAUUGUGGUAUUUAUUCAUUGGCUGUAGAGCGUCGGUAUUUUGUGUGUAGAUGUGUUUAGAAUGUAUGAUAUAUAUAUUUGUUCUACCUCUCCCUAAUGAUGGGGUUGGGUCUGCAAUAACCAGUAUGCUGUACUCUAGUGUUGGAGAGAGUGUGUGGGGCUCGAGGACGGUUCCGCGGAUACCACUUGUGGAUCGGGGUUGUUUGGACGAUUCAGCGGAUACCACUUGUGGAUCGGAAUUGUUAAGACGAUUCCGUGGAUACCACUUGUGGAUCAGGGUUGUCGAGCUCUCUCACCCCCCUCUUGUAUUUUUUAAUGCCAUGUGUAUGAGUAGAUACUGCAUCGUGCAGCGUAGAUCUGUGGGCUCUGUGAAUUCUCCGUCUGUCUGUGUGUGUGUGAAUAAUGAGAAAAUCUUGUGUUUUUUUAAGCGGAAUUGAAUGAUGAUCUGUGAGGAGGGGAGGGGGGUGCAUUUGUUUGCUUAGGUGUAUAUUUUCUUGUGUGGUUGGUUGUUAUAUAUAUAUUUUUUUUCGGUGAGCGUGUGUUUCUCAAUUUGUGAAAAUGAGGCUGAAGAUGCGGAGAGGAUAGCUGCAAA
rnacentral:lncRNA from 1 species